rnacentral:sRNA from 1 species
CUGUUUGAAACUUUCCAAGAUGAGAUGGGAUUCUCCAACAUGGAAGAUGAUGGCCCAGAAGAGGAGGAGCGUGUGGCUGAGCCUCAACCUAACUUUAACACCCCUCAAGUUCUACGGUUUGAGGAACUACUGGCCAACCUACUAAAUGAACAACAUCAGAUAGCGAAGGAACUAUUUGAACAGCUGAAGAUGAAGAAACCUUCAGCCAAACAGCAGAAGGAGGUAGAGAAGGUUAAACCCCAGUGUAAAGAAGUUCAUCAGACCCUGAUUCUGGACCCAGCACAAAGGAAGAGACUCCAGCAGCAGAUGCAGCAGCAUGUUCAGCUCUUGACACAAAUCCACCUUCUUGCCACCUGCAACCCCAAUCUCAAUCCGGAGGCCAGUAGCACCAGGAUAUGUCUUAAAGAGCUGGGAACCUUUGCUCAAAGCUCCAUCGCCCUUCACCAUCAGUACAACCCCAAGUUUCAGACCCUGUUCCAACCCUGUAACUUGAUGGGAGCUAUGCAGCUGAUUGAAGACUUCAGCACACAUGUCAGCAUUGACUGCAGCCCUCAUAAAACUGUCAAGAAGACUGGUAGGAGACAGAUGUGUCAGCUUUAAGUUUUUACUUGCGCCAAUGAAUUUCCCUGUUUGCCAAAGCAAGUGGCUUGGAUCCUGGCCACAAGCAAGGUUUUCAUGUAUCCAGAGUUACUUCCAGUGUGUUCCCUGAAGGCAAAGAAUCCCCAGGAUAAGAUCCUCUUCACCAAGGCUGAGGACAAUUUUAUAAGAAGACCAAACAGCUGCCAGUCCUAGGAAAAUGCUGUGAAGAGAUCCAGCCACAUCAGUGGAAGCCACCUAUAGAGAGAGAAGAACACCGGCUCCCAUUCUGGUUAAAGGCCAGUCUGCCAUCCAUCCAGGAAGAACUGCGGCACAUGGCUGAUGGUGCUAGAGAGGUAGGAAAUAUGACUGGAACCACUGA